rnacentral:misc_RNA from 1 species
GAUGAAGAACGUAGCGAAAUGCGAUAAGUAAUGUGAAUUGCAGAAUUCAGUGAAUCAUCGAAUCUUUGAACGCACAUUGCGCCCCUUGGUAUCCCGAGGGGCAUGCCUGUUCGAGCGUCAUUUCACCACUCAAGCCUGGCUUGGUGUUGGGCGACGUCCCCUUUGGGGACGCGCCUCGAAACGCUCGGCGGCGUGGCACCGGCUUUAAGCGUAGCAGAAUCUUUCGCUUUGGAAGUCGGGGCCCCGUCUGCCGGAAGACCUACUCGCAAGGUUGACCUCGGAUCAGGCAGGGAUACCCGCUGAACUUAAGCAUAUCAAUAAGCGGAGCA